rnacentral:rRNA from 1 species
AACAGGAAUCAGCUUGCUGAUUCGCUGACGAGUGGCGGACGGGUGAGUAAUGUCUGGGAAACUGCCUGAUGGAGGGGGAUAACUACUGGAAACGGUAGCUAAUACCGCAUAAUGUCGCAAGACCAAAGAGGGGGACCUUCGGGCCUCUUGCCAUCGGAUGUGCCCAGAUGGGAUUAGCUUGUUGGUGGGGUAACGGCUCACCAAGGCGACGAUCCCUAGCUGGUCUGAGAGGAUGACCAGCCACACUGGAACUGAGACACGGUCCAGACUCCUACGGGAGGCA